ACACACACACACACACACUAAGCCACAUUUCUGAUUUGUGUCAUCAGCUCCCUUAAGACUCCAUUCAUCCAAAGGAAGCAGAAAAUGUCAUCAUAUUAGAAGACAAAGCAAGAAUGUGAAAGGAUAAAGGAGGAACGUGCAAGAAAAACAAGAGGAAUUCUUGAAAGACGAAGCUCAGCGAGAGGAGGCUCUGAAAAUAUAUAAAGAGAAGAAAAUGGCCACAUAUCAGUUGUUGAAGAAAA